CUCACGGGCUCAUGACCUGAGCCAAAGUCAGAUGUUCAACCGACUGAGCCACCCAGGCGCCCCUUCCUGUAACCCAUUUUUUGUCCUUGAGUUUGAUUGCACUCAGAUUGUUUACUUUUUGUUCGAUUAGUUGAGAAUAUAUACAAAACUUCCAGGUGACAGGAGAACUUCUUUUGGAGGGUGCAUACGAGAAAGGAAUUAAAUUCGGGAAGAAUUUCCUUAAAUCUAAAAAACACGAAAAACUUCACCCAUGUUACAAGACAACCACAACACCCCAAUGAGCCCUGAAAGCGAACAAGCAUCCCAGUCCUUCUGCAGCACAUUGGAGCUCUUCCCUAGAGGUGGUCCCAUUCGGUGGUUUGCCCAGUGUACCGUGCUGAUCCCCAAGGGGAAAGAAAUAGAAGAAACGGCGCAGUUGAGAGAGAUCAACACACUCUUGGAAUUUGGAAAGCCGAUGCAUUUUUGCACAUGUUGUCAAAUUUUCUUCUGUAAGGGUCCAGAUUGCAAAUAGUUGAGGCUUUGUGAGCUACCUGGUUCUGUGUCAAAACGAUACAACUCUGCCAUUAGAGCAUGAAAGUGGCCAGAGACAGUAAGUAAACAAACAGGUAUGGCCGUGUUCCAACAACACUUUAUUUACAAAAACAGCCAUGGAUUGGAUAUGGUCCACAGGCCAUUCAUUGUUUGCCAACAAUGAUGGUUACAUGACGACAGGCCAGAGACAGCUAGAAACAAAAGUGGGGGAAAUAGGGCUGGAAAAUGGAGUCAAGGACAGGUAUGCGUUCACCGAGCCCCAUUUUUGUACAGACGUGUGUCAGCUUGUGUUUUUCCGGCCUCCCUCAGAGUCAGGUGGGACUGUGGGACCCAACGCUGAAUAGCAAAAUAUAGGCAGAGGUGACAAAUUUCCUGGACAUGCAAAAAUUCUGGCUGCUUAAAGCAUUCUUGGCAUACACUGCCGGAGAACAGCAUCAUCACCCUGCCAGCAGUUAGAAUUGAGGCACUCGAGGUACUCACCCUGAAUGGCUGGUCUGGGAUGAAUGGAAAGUAAGGGAUUGCUGACUGUUCUUCACCUCUUUCCCCAGAUAUACAAGAAUUUCUGAGUAGCUGCCGGUCUGUGAACACAGCUUUGAGUUCAAUUGCCACGUCGGCGGGAGGGUCUUCAGAGUCACCACAGGUCAAGCUGAUGGCAAAGCUGAACAGAAAAUUACCUCGUUAAUCAGGGUUGGCCAUGACAACACUUGCCAAUGACGCAGGCCCCCAUACUUGCUCCUUCUUCUCAGGGUGUGUUUGCUUUUCAUGGGCCACUUUUUACACAGGGAAUUGGGCUACGUAUGGAGAAGGAGGAUUACAAUCAAGCCAGGCGUUUCGAUACCUAAAGGAGGCUUUGCAAAAGGACUGAUACUAGGGAUGUCAGAUACUUCAAACCACCCACACAUCUGUACCUUAAUCCAUUUCAGAAUUCUCAGAAGCAGCCCCAGAAAUUGACCAGGGGAAUAAUAAUCUUGUAAAGUCUGCUUGCCAUUUACAUUGACAGAUCUUGCUCUAAGCACCAUGUUUAAAAACCCUUAGAAAAAAAUCCUUUGGCCUCCCUAAGGGUCAAAGAGAAAAUGAUGUGGGCCUAUAUUUAUAAUCUCUGAUAUAAAUAGCUGUCUGGACAAA